GUUGUCGUGGCCGAGUGGUUAAGGCGAUGGACUUAUAAUCUUUUGGGAUCUUCCCAUGCAGGUUCGAAUCCUGCCAUCAUUG
rnacentral:tRNA from 1 species